rnacentral:rRNA from 1 species
UUAUUGAAUUUAUUUUUAUUUUGGAUAAGAAUAUAAUAUUAGUACCUUUUGUAUCAGGGUUGUUUAAUUAGGAUAAUAAUUUAAAUUUCUCGAUAUUAACUGAGUUAAAUAAAAUAGCUUGUGUUGAAUAAUUAUCUGAAUUUAUUUAGUAGUGAAAAUUUUUCGUGGUUAAAGGUAUCUAGUUACUUAUAAAGUUGAUAAGAGGGUUAAGCUUUUUAUUUUUAUAUAUUUUUUGAUAAGGGUGAUAAAUUAGGCUUAAGAUUAGCUAUAUUUAUAAUUUGUUUUAAAUUUUUUAUGUUGAGAAUUAAGCAUUAUUUUUAGAGGUUGUUUUGUUUUAUAAAUUAAUAUAAUAAAUAAUGAGUAAAUUAGUAUUUUUUUUUUUUCUGUAGGGUAUAACUCGAUAAUUGUAGAAUAGUUUAUCAAAAACAUUUUUUUAUAUUAUAUAAAAUAAGGCCUGCCCAGUGUGUAUUAUAAAUGGCUGCAGUAUUUUGACUGUGCUAAGGUAGCAUAAUAAUUUGUUUUUUAAUUGUUAACUGGAAUGAAAGGUUUUAUCUAUGAAAGGUUUUAUUUAUAGUGGAAAUAAUUUAUAUUUAUAGUAAAAAUACUAUAAUUUAGUUAAGUGACGAUAAGACCCUAUAAGCUUUAUUUAUAGGGUAAAGGGGUUAAGGAUUUAGCGGGGUUUUGGUUUUAUUAAUUUUGCUGGGGCAGUGGUAUUAUUUAAAUUAAUAAGGUUAAAACAUAGUUGGAUGUGUAUAAGAUCUUUUUAUAAAGAUAAUUAGUGUUAGUUACUGUAGGGAUAACAGCGCAAUAAUUUUGGAGAGGCCAUAUCGAUAAAAUUGAUUGCGACCUCGAUGUUGAAUUAAAAUUUCUUUUUGUUGCAGAAGGCAUAAGAGAAGGUUUGUUCAACCUUUAAUUUUUUACAUGAUUUGAGUUCAAAUCGGUUUAAGCCAGAUUGGUUUCUAUCUUUUAUAUAUUAUUAUUUAUGUAAGUACGAAAGGGACACAUAAUAUUU